CAAUAGCGUAUAUUAAAGUUGUUGCAGUUAAAAACGUCCGUAGUCUGUACGGUCGUCCCAAACUCACUGCAGUCUUCCGUUUUCUUCAUUGAAUGCGGUAGUUUCUGCAGUCACUCCCUUGAUCAAAUUAGGUUGUUCAAGGUAAGACCAAGUCUUCAUAUUUUUCACAUGGAAUUGGGUGAGGGAACUUAAGAGUUUAAGUUUCUCGUCUUAGGAUCAUCCGGGGUCAUUCGUACUCGUCCGCGAGAGGUGAAAAUUCUUGGACCGGACGAAGACGACCAGCAGCGAAAAGCAUCUGUCAGGGAUGUUUUCUGCGACAAAAGGACGAAAGGUC
rnacentral:rRNA from 1 species